rnacentral:rRNA from 1 species
GACGAACGCUGGCGGCGUGCUUAACACAUGCAAGUCGAACGAAGAGCGAUGGAAUCUUGCUUCUAUCAAUCUUAGUGGCGAACGGGUGAGUAACGCGUAAUCAACCUGCCCUUCAGAGGGGGACAACAGUUGGCAACGACUGCUAAUACCGCAUACGAUCUAACCUCGGCAUCGAGGAAAGAUGAAAGGUGGCCUCUAUGUAUAAGCUAUCACUGAAGGAGGGGAUUGCGUCUGAUUAGCUAGUUGGAGGGGUAACGGCCCACCAAGGCGAUGAUCAGUAGCCGGGCUGAGAGGAUGGACGGGCACAAUGGGACUGAGACACGGCCCAGACUCCUACGGGAGGCAGCAGUGGGGAAUCUUCCGCAAUGGACGAAAGUCUGACGGAGCAACGCCGCGUGAGUGAUGACGGCCUUCGGGUUGUAAAGCUCUGUUAAUCGGGACGAAAGGCCUUCUUGCGAAUAGUGAGAAGGAUUGACGGUACCGGAAGAGAAAGCCACGGCUAACUACGUG